rnacentral:rRNA from 1 species
GUGGGGAAUAUUGGGCAAUGGAGGAAACUCUGACCCAGCAACGCCGCGUGAAUGAUGAAGGUCUUCGGAUUGUAAAGUUCUUUUCUAAGGGAAGAAGAAAGUGACGGUACCUUAGGAAUAAGCCUCGGCUAACUACGUGCCAGCAGCCGCGGUAAUACGUAGGAGGCAAGCGUUAUCCGGAAUGACUGGGCGUAAAGGGUGCGUAGGUGGUUUGGCAAGUUAGUAGCGUAACUCCGGGGCUCAACUCCGGAACUACUACUAAAACUGUCGGACUUGAGUGCAGGAGGGGCAAUUGGAAUUCCUAGUGUAGCGGUGGAAUGCGUAGAUAUUAGGAAGAACACCAGUGGCGAAGGCGAAUUGCUGGACUGUAACUGACACUGAGGCACGAAAGCGUGGGGAGCAAACAGGA